rnacentral:rRNA from 1 species
AACGAACGCUGGCGGCGCGCUUAACACAUGCAAGUCGAACGAGAAGGCGUAGCAAUACGCUUGUAAAGUGGCGAACGGGUGAGGAAUACGUGGGUAACCUACCCUCGAGUGGGGAUAACCCGCCGAAAGGCGGGCUAAUACCGCGUACGCUUCCGAUCUCGCGGGAUCGGAAGGAAAGCUGUCCCAAGGGGAUGGCGCUCAAGGAUGGGCUCAUGUCCUAUCAGCUUGUUGGUAGGAACGCUACCAAGGCAUCGCGGUAGCUGGUCUGAGAGGACGAUCAGCCACACUGGCACUGCGACACGGGCCCAGACUCCUACGGGAGGCAGCAAGUNAGGAAUAUUGCGCAAUGGGCGAAAGCCUGACGCAGCGACGCCGCGUGGGGGA